rnacentral:misc_RNA from 1 species
GUGAAUCAUCGAAUUUUUGAACGCAAAUUGCACUCUCCGGUUUUCCGGGAGAGUAUGCCUGUUUGAGGGUCAGCCUAAAAAAAAUCGACAUUGUUGCCGUUAUUUAAUGGUGACUUUCGUCGGAGAUUGGGUUAUCUUAAACCUUUUUUUUUUUUUUUGGCUUAAGCGUCUUAAAAUUUUUCUUCACGAUUCCAUGAACGUUUCUAAGUUUUUUAUUUCUUAUACUUUUAAGGUUUAUCGACUUUUUAUUAUACGGGACCAUCGCAUCGGA